rnacentral:rRNA from 1 species
GCCCUUAGAGUUUGAUCCUGGCUCAGGAUGAACGCUGGCGGUAUGCCUAACACAUGCAAGUCGUACGAGAGUUUUUAACUCUAGUGGCGGACGGGUGAGUAACACGUGAGAAUUUGCCUUUAGGAGGGGGAUAACAAUCGGAAACGAAUGCUAAUACCCCAUAUGCUUUCGAGUGAAAUGGAUUUAUAUUUAUCCGCCUAGAGAGAAGCUCGCGGCUGAUUAGCUUGUUGGUAAGGUAAGAGCUUACCAAGGCGACGAUCAGUAUCUGGUUUGAGAGGACGAUCAGACACACUGGAACUGAGACACGGUCCAGACUCCUACGGGAGGCAGCAGUGGGGAAUUUUCCGCAAUGGGCGAAAGCCUGACGGAGCAAUACCGCGUGAGGGAAGACUGCCUAUGGGUUGUAAACCUCUUUUUUCAGGGAGGAAUAAAAUGACGUGUACCUGAAGAAUAAGCAUCGGCUAACUCCGUGCCAGCAGCCGCGGUAAUAAGGGCG